rnacentral:ncRNA from 1 species
UCUUAUUUAGAGAGGCAAAGGGACUGGCCCAAUGAAGCCCAGCAACCUGAAUAAUGUAUACAUUAUUUAAGGUGCUAAUUCCAGCAAGCUCUGUAGUGAGCUUGAGAGAUAAGA